rnacentral:rRNA from 1 species
UUAUUAGAACAAAACCAAUCAGUGCUUGCACUGUGGUUUGGUGAAUCUGAAUAACUCCGCAGAUCGCUACGGUCUUGUACCGGCGAUGUAUCUUUCAAGUGUCUGCCUUAUCAACUUUCGAUGGUAGUUUAUGUGCCUACCAUGGUUGUAACGGGUAACGGAGAAUAAGGGUUCGACUCCGGAGAGGGAGCCUGAGAAACGGCUACCACUUCUAAGGAAGGCAGCAGGCGCGCAAAUUACCCACUCUCGGCAUGAGGAGGUAGUGACGAAAAAUAACGAGACGGUUCUCUUAUGAGUACCGUCAUCGGAAUGAGAACAAUAUAGACCCUUUAACGAGGAUCUAGCGGAGGGCAAGUCUGGUGCCAGCAGCCGCGGUAAUUCCAGCUCCGCCAGUGUAUAUCUAUGCUGCUGCGGUUAAAAAGCUCGUAGUUGGAUCUGCGUGCCAGGAGCCGGUCCGUCUUUUAGGCGUGUACUGGAGUCCGGCACUGAAUCGUUGGUUUUCUCUUGAUGCCCUUAACUGGGUGUCCUGAGUGGCUAACAUGUUUACUUUGAAAAAAUUAGAGUGCUCAAAACAAG